GGACCGCGAGAUCGUGACCUGAGCUGAAGUCGGACACUUAACCGACUGAGCCACCCAGGCGCCCCAACAAAUAAACAUUUAAAACAAAAAACAAAAAGAUACUUGGAGGAAGCAUUCUUCUCUUCCUAGAAUUUAUCAUGAGUUUGAUGACAAAUUUUUUUUUAACCUAUGAAAAUCUUCUGACUUUUAUAAUAGCCUAAUGAUGUGAUUAUAUUAAUUCUAGCUCUGUGUGUGUGUGUGUGUGUGUGUGUGUGUGUGUGUGUAUGUCACAGGUAAUUUCUGAGUGAUCCAGUUGAAACCACAAAAAUGAUAAAAACGAUGGAUAAAAUUAGUACUUCUUUUGCUGGACAGGCAUGAAAAGGAUUCUGCUUGGGCCAAAAAUGAAAUACAAGGAGGCAUUCCAGGAGAUCAACACAAAAGCUGGGUUUUUUUUCCCCUGUUGAUUUUUACCAAAUCCUGGAGACCUAGAACUUCCUCCUUUAGUGGCUGUGCAGGGGGCAGGAGAUAACAGUUCCAUGUCUUGGACACAGGAUUCCUGCAUGAAGCUGGGACCUCAAAAGACAACCCCCCCCCCCCCCAGGGAAAGGGAAGAUGGGAAAUCAACUUACCAUCCAGCUUUCGCCUUGUCACAGAUCUAAAAACUAUAGAAGCACUUGAAUCAUCACUCCAAAGCCAAGCUCCAUUAUGCCAGCCUCCCUCGCCUGGAGGUUGCUCACCACUGUAAGAAGGUGGAUUUGGAGUUGAGAGGAACAAAUUCAUUCCUGGUCAGGAGGGUCAAGAAACACUUCUUAGAUAUUUGAGCUGAGCCUCGAAAUGCAUGCAUAUACACGUAGUGAUUUCAACAAGCAGAGAAUGAGGAAAGGAUUCCUGGUGCAGGGAAAGUGGCAGGAGUGUAGUCAGGGCCAGGCGUAUAGAGGGUCAGCCCCAUGCUCUAGUACAGUGAGCAGGUUCCACUGCCUUCAGAGCAUUGUUCAGAGGUGGGUGGUAGGUUGUUGUUGGGGUUUUUUUUCCUACUUCUGGGAAUCCUUGCCGAUGCAGUAGCAGGUUAUUUACACUUUGAGGGGUAAUUUUAUGAAAAUGUGUUCGCCAGAGAGCUCUCCUUCCUUUCUUGAAUGAAUGUCUGUUUUCUAGAGUCUCAAUUACAGUGAUACUGAAAUUGCACUGUCUUUCCUGGGCCUCAAACUCAAACAAGGUUUAAUUCACCAUAACUGCUAUUUACUUACAACGUGUUACUGUGUCACGAAGUAGACACUCUCCUGUGCACGCCCUGACCCCUGCGGUAAGCAGGUACAGCAGGAAGGCUGCAGGCUCUGACCGUCUGUAAGGAGUUGACCGUCCCAUGGAGAAGGAGGGGGUAAGCCUCUUUAAACAAUUAGAGGAUUAUAAAAUGAUCUUCUGGAGGGGUGCCUGGGUGGCUCAGUUGGUUAAGCAUCUGACUCUUGAUUUCCUCUCAGGUCAUGAUCUCACUGUUUGGGAGUUUGAGGCCCACACCUGGCCCUGCCGUGGCAGCACAGAACCUGCUUGGGAUUCUGUCUCCCACUCUCUGCCCCUCCCCUAUUUGCUCGCUCUCUCUCUCUCUCUCUCUCUCAAAAUAUAUUAAAAAUAAGUAAAAAAUAAAAUUUUAUUGAAGAGGAACUUGGGAUAUACGCUGAAGGAUAAGGGAGAGGAGAGUGUUUUGCUGUGGAUACAGCCAAAAAAAAGUUUAAAGACUCCAAAACAAGAUUGAACAUGGGAUGAAGUGAAAAAGAAUGGGUGAGCGUUGUGAGUGACUACGUGUGUGUGUUACAUACAUGCAUGUGUAAGUGUAGAUACCAGAACAGAGAUGGCAUGGUCCCCAAAAGAUGCUUAACCUCAGGUGGUCUUUGCUGUAGGCAUGUAAUCCAAGGGAGUCGUUCCCACAAGACUCAAAUAGCCACGAGUACUGCCAACCAUGCUUUCUUUUGCUCUCAAAUGAGAGGCUUAAGUCUCUGUCUUCGUGACCCUGUGGAGAACUGGGGUCAUCCCACCCAUCUCCGGGGUGAUGAGAAGAUUCUGCGCACCACCGCUGACCCUUGUACUGCCCGGUCCGGUGAGCGGUCACAUUCGUUUUACUUGUGUCCUAAUUUUAUGGCAGUUAGCAGGUUGACGCUCAUUCAGUCAGCAUUGACUCUCCCUGAAAGCUGAGUACGAAAGGUAAGAUCCACUUGUUCACUCAACAAAAUAUUUACAACGGCCCCACCUUGUAUCAGGCACUGUACUUGCUACUGAGGAUACCAGGAGUGAAUAAAAGAGACGUAUCUUGGUACCCAUGGAGCAUAUGGUGUUGGGGGAUGGGGGGGUGGGGAGGGAAACGUAAGAAGCCACAAAUAAAAGUGCUGUUGCCAUCGUGAUGAGUAGUAUCGGUGACCGAAUGCUAAAAGGGAGAGUCAAGGGAAAUCUUCGUUAGGUGGUGAGGGAAGGCCCCUGAGAACAAGUUGAUGGUUGUGCGGAAAUCUUUUCUUUUUUUUCAAGUACAGUGAUAUUUUUUAUUAUUUUUAUUUUUAUUUUAUUUAUUUAUCUAUUUAUUUGUUUGUUUGUUUGUUUUUGGUUGUGCUGCAAUCUUAAGAAUGAAGAGGGUGCAGCCGGAGAAUAUAUGAGUGGGGGCCAGGGGCUGGGCAGAGGACCGGCCCUGCUAAGGCUCCGAAGCGAGAAGGAGCUAAGUGGUUGAGAACGACACAGUUCCUGUUCUCUUACAUUUUCCGGCGGACACAGACACACAACAUUUACAUUCCGUUGUGACAGGUGACUUUUGGCCUAAAAAGACUCCUGUAGCUUCCUAGACAGCAUUCCACUAUUGAACUUCUGAAAGAGUGUCUUUUAAACGCGAUCCUCAGAUGAUUCAAACUGCUAAUAUUCCCACCUGAUUGCCACAAAACUACACAAUCCUACUUCUCCGCUUAGUGACUCCACACAGACAGCCGAGAAGACCGAUGGCCAUCUGACUGAGCCCACACAUGAGCUCGAGAAUCCCCACAAGCAGCAGGCCCAAGAACACUGAAAAAUGGAUCGUCCUGUGUUUGUUUUCUUUAGAACUGAAGUUCAAGCUAUAGCGUCCACCAUCACUGGCCCUGGUACCACUGAGGGUGGGAUCAGUGACCUCAGCAGGAGCCAUGCAGGACUCUCUGAAGAACCACUGUAGAUUGAAGGAUUCUGGAUGGAUGUUGCUGAAACGCAAGAAAUGAGAGAAGAUAUUCAGGAAUAUCACCAUGAAGAAAGAAUGCAGCAUUGUGCUGUUUCUUACACUCACAGAAAAGGACGAGUAUAAUAAAACACAAGUACCUCGA